UGGCUGGAAUCGAACCUGGGACCCUUCAGUCCACAGGCUGACACUCUAUCCACUGAGCCAAACCAGCCAGGGCUAAACUGCCUUUUGAUGACCAGGACAAAUUGAGUGAAAUUGUACCAGACAGAAAAAAAAAUAAGU
rnacentral:snoRNA from 1 species